GGUGCGGAGGGAUCAUUA
rnacentral:rRNA from 1 species